rnacentral:rRNA from 1 species
GACAUCCAGCGAACUUGGCAGAGAUGCCUUGGUGCCUUUCGGGAACGCUGAGACAGGUGCCGCAUGGCUGUCGUCAGCUCGUGUUGUGAAAUGUUGGGUUAAGUCCCGCAACGAGCGCAACCCUUAUCCUUUGUUGCCAGCGAUUCGGUCGGGAACUCAAAGGAGACUGCCGGUGAUAAACCGGAGGAAGGUGGGGAUGACGUCAAGUCAUCAUGGCCCUUACGAGUAGGGCUACACACGUGCUACAAUGGCGCAUACAAAGAGAAGCGACCUCGCGAGAGCAAGCGGACCUCAUAAAGUGCGUCGUAGUCCGGAUCGGAGUCUGCAACUCGACUCCGUGAAGUCGGAAUCGCUAGUAAUCGUGGAUCAGAAUGCCACGGUGAAUACGUUCCCGGGCCUUGUACACACCGCCCGUCACACCAUGGGAGUGGGUUGCAAAAGAAGUAGGUAGCUUAACCUUCGGGAGGGCGCUUACCACUUUGUGAUUCAUGACUGGGGUGAAGUCGUAACAAGGUAGGCGUAGCGAG